GUUUGAUCCUGGCUCAGGACGAACGCUGGCGGCGUGCCUAAUACAUGCAAGUCGAGCGAGCGGAACUAACAGAUUUACUUCGGUAAUGACGUUAGGAAAGCGAGCGGCGGAUGGGUGAGUAACACGUGGGGAACCUGCCCCAUAGUCUGGGAUACCACUUGGAAACAGGUGCUAAUACCGGAUAAGAAAGCAGAUCGCAUGAUCAGCUUUUAAAAGGCGGCGUAAGCUGUCGCUAUGGGAUGGCCCCGCGGUGCAUUAGCUAGUUGGUAAGGUAAAGGCUUACCAAGGCGAUGAUGCAUAGCCGAGUUGAGAGACUGAUCGGCCACAUUGGGACUGAGACACGGCCCAAACUCCUACGGGAGGCAGCAGUAGGGAAUCUUCCACAAUGGACGCAAGUCUGAUGGAGCAACGCCGCGUGAGUGAAGAAGGUUUUCGGAUCGUAAAGCUCUGUUGUUGGUGAAGAAGGAUAGAGGUAGUAACUGGCCUUUAUUUGACGGUAAUCAACCAGAAAGUCACGGCUAACUACGUGCCAGCAGCCGCGGUAAUACGUAGGUGGCAAGCGUUGUCCGGAUUUAUUGGGCGUAAAGCGAGCGCAGGCGGAAGAAUAAGUCUGAUGUGAAAGCCCUCGGCUUAACCGAGGAACUGCAUCGGAAACUGUUUUUCUUGAGUGCAGAAGAGGAGAGUGGAACUCCAUGUGUAGCGGUGGAAUGCGUAGAUAUAUGGAAGAACACCAGUGGCGAAGGCGGCUCUCUGGUCUGCAACUGACGCUGAGGCUCGAAAGCAUGGGUAGCGAACAGGAUUAGAUACCCUGGUAGUCCAUGCCGUAAACGAUGAGUGCUAAGUGUUGGGAGGUUUCCGCCUCUCAGUGCUGCAGCUAACGCAUUAAGCACUCCGCCUGGGGAGUACGACCGCAAGGUUGAAACUCAAAGGAAUUGACGGGGGCCCGCACAAGCGGUGGAGCAUGUGGUUUAAUUCGAAGCAACGCGAAGAACCUUACCAGGUCUUGACAUCUAGUGCCAUUUGUAGAGAUACAAAGUUCCCUUCGGGGACGCUAAGACAGGUGGUGCAUGGCUGUCGUCAGCUCGUGUCGUGAGAUGUUGGGUUAAGUCCCGCAACGAGCGCAACCCUUGUUAUUAGUUGCCAGCAUUAAGUUGGGCACUCUAAUGAGACUGCCGGUGACAAACCGGAGGAAGGUGGGGAUGACGUCAAGUCAUCAUGCCCCUUAUGACCUGGGCUACACACGUGCUACAAUGGGCAGUACAACGAGAAGCGAGCCUGCGAAGGCAAGCGAAUCUCUGAAAGCUGUUCUCAGUUCGGACUGCAGUCUGCAACUCGACUGCACGAAGCUGGAAUCGCUAGUAAUCGCGGAUCAGCACGCCGCGGUGAAUACGUUCCCGGGCCUUGUACACACCGCCCGUCACACCAUGGGAGUCUGCAAUGCCCAAAGCCGGUGGCCUAACCUUCGGGAAGGAGCCGUCUAAGGCAGGGCAGAUGACUGGGGUGAAGUCGUAACAAGGUAGCCGUAGGAGAACCUGCGGCUGGAUCAC
rnacentral:rRNA from 1 species